rnacentral:rRNA from 1 species
AUGAACGCUGGCGGCGUGCCUCAUACAUGCAAGUCGAGCGAACAGACGAGGAGCUUGCUCCUUUGACGUUAGCGGCGGACGGGUGAGUAACACGUGGGUAACCUACCUAUAAGACUGGGAUAACUUCGGGAAGCCGGAGCUAAUACCGGAUAAUAUUUCGAACCGCAUGGUUCGAUAGUGAAAGAUGGCUUUGCUAUCACUUAUAGAUGGACCUGCGCCGUAUUAGCUAGUUGGUAAGGUAACGGCUUACCAAGGCAACGAUACGUAGCCGACCUGAGAGGGUGAUCGGCCACACUGGAACUGAGACACGGUCCAGACUCCUACGGGAGGCAGCAGUAGGGAAUCUUCCGCAAUGGGCGAAAGCCUGACGGAGCAACGCCGCGUGAGUGAUGAAGGUCUUCGGAUCGUAAAACUCUGUUAUUAGGGAAGAACAAACGUGUAAGUAACUGUGCACGUCUUGACGGUACCUAAUCAGAAAGCCACGGCUAACUACGUG